rnacentral:lncRNA from 1 species
CAGCUUAUUCAACAUGAAGAUGAUGAGAAUGAGGACUUUGUGAUGAUCUUCCGCUUAAUAAAUGAUCAGCGGAGCAUCACUGGCUGUGUGGGGCUCCCUCCAGUAAGUAGGUCUAGGACCUUAGCCGCAUCUGCUGCUCAUCCCACAUCUUGACAAAAGUACACAAGAACCUCUAGUGCUUCCAUGUCUCCAAAUGCCAUCUCCAUUACACUUCAAAAUGCACCCCCAACCUAGGAUGAUUGGGCUGUCCUUCUUAGCUGAUAAAAACAGCAGAAAAACUU